rnacentral:rRNA from 1 species
GGUUAAGCGACUAAGCGUACACGGUGGAUGCCCUGGCAGUCAGAGGCGAUGAAGGGCGUGCUAAUCUGCGAUAAGCGCCGGUAAGGUGAUAUGAACCGUUAUAACCGGCGAUACCCGAAUGGGGAAACCCAGUGUGAUUCGUCACACUAUCAUUAACUGAAUCCAUAGGUUAAUGAGGCGAACCGGGGGAACUGAAACAUCUAAGUACCCCGAGGAAAAGAAAUCAACCGAGAUUCCCCCAGUAGCGGCGAGCGAACGGGGAGGAGCCCAGAGCCUGAAUCAGCAUGUGUGUUAGUGGAAGCGUCUGGAAAGGCGCGCGAUACAGGGUGACAGCCCCGUACACAAAAGCGCAUGUGCUGUGAGCUCGAUGAGUAGGGCGGGACACGUGGUAUCCUGUCUGAAUAUGGGGGGACCAUCCUCCAAGGCUAAAUACUCCUGACUGACCGAUAGUGAACCAGUACCGUGAGGGAAAGGCGAAAAGAACCCCGGCGAGGGGAGUGAAAAAGAACCUGAAACCGUGUACGUACAAGCAGUGGGAGCCCCACCACUAAGCCAGUGGUGAACUCCACAUCCGCAUCCUUUGCUGAGGAUACGGUUAACGGAGCGAAAGCGACGUUCAACCGCAAAACAAGCAGAGGGGGCUUAGUGGUGGGGUGACUGCGUACCUUUUGUAUAAUGGGUCAGCGACUUAUAUUCUGUAGCAAGGUUAACCGAAUAGGGGAGCCGGAGGGAAACCGAGUCUUAAUUGGGCGUUAAGUUGCAGGGUAUAGACCCGAAACCCGGUGAUCUAGCCAUGGGCAGGUUGAAGGUUGGGUAACACUAACUGGAGGACCGAACCGACUAAUGUUGAAAAAUUAGCGGAUGACCUGUGGCUGGGGGUGAAAGGCCAAUCAAACCGGGAGAUAGCUGGUUCUCCCCGAAAGCUAUUUAGGUAGCGCCUCGUGAAUUCAUCUCCGGGGGUAGAGCACUGUUUCGGCUAGGGGGCCAUCCCGGCUUACCAACCCGAUGCAAACUGCGAAUACCGGAGAAUGUUAUCACGGGAGACACACGGCGGGUGCUAACGUCCGUCGUGAAGAGGGAAACAACCCAGACCGCCAGCUAAGGUCCCAAAGUCAUGGUUAAGUGGGAAACGAUGUGGGAAGGCCCAGACAGCCAGGAUGUUGGCUUAGAAGCAGCCAUCAUUUAAAGAAAGCGUAAUAGCUCACUGGUCGAGUCGGCCUGCGCGGAAGAUGUAACGGGGCUAAACCAUGCACCGAAGCUGCGGCAGCGACGCUGAUGCGUUGUUGGGUAGGGGAGCGUUCUGUAAGCCUGUGAAGGUGUGUCGUGAGGCAUGCUGGAGGUAUCAGAAGUGCGAAUGCUGACAUAAGUAACGAUAAAGCGGGUGAAAAGCCCGCUCGCCGGAAGACCA